rnacentral:rRNA from 1 species
UUGCCGGCGAGCGGCGGACGGGUGAGUAAUGUCUGGGAAACUGCCUGAUGGAGGGGGAUAACUACUGGAAACGGUAGCUAAUACCGCAUAACGUCGCAAGACCAAAGAGGGGGACCUUCGGGCCUCUUGCCAUCAUAUGUGCCCAGAUGGGAUUAGCUAGUAGGUGGGGUAACGGCUCACCUAGGCGACGAUCCCUAGCUGGUCUGAGAGGAUGACCAGCCACACUGGAACUGACACACGGUCCAGACUCCUACGGGAGGCAGCAGUGGGGAAUAUUGCACAAUGGGCGCAAGCCUGAUGCACCCAUGCCGCGUGUAUGAAGAAGGCCUUCGGGUUGUAAAGUAUUUUCAGCGGAGAGGAAGGUGUUGAGGUUAAUAACCUCAGCAUUUGACGUUACCCGCAAAAAAAGCACCGGCUAACUCCGUGCCAGCAGCCGCGGUAAUACAGAGGGUGCAA